AUGAGAAAUCUGCUCGGAGCCACGCUGGCAUUUAAAUGGCAGAUAACAGAACGUCUUAACCCUUCGCUGAUCCGCUCUGCUCCCGGGCCAUAUACGUUUUUAUCACGGAGAGUCCAACCUACAGAACCAGCAGGUUAACAUUUGUACAAGCUGACGUUCAUGGUAGAAGACGGCGGUGAGAGACAAACGAACCGGACCAGAGACCGCUGCUGACGUCUGUGUUUCACUGUCAGUGAGCAUCAAACCACAGGAUGGUUUUAACGGGACGUCGGAACAUUUCCAGGCGACAGAAUCAUAAACAUGCUCCCAUCCUAACCAGCAACCAGCACCAACAUGAGAUAACUGAAGCUACAGAACAUCAGAGCGGCAGCAUGUCUGUGGUUUGCAGAGAUGAACACCAACAUUUGUUCUUGUGUCUUGGUUUUUGUUUUUACAGAAUUUGCCUCCUGGAUCUACAGCAGUCUGUGAUCUUGGAUUCAUUUGUUAUAGUGUUAAGUAAUCUGAUUACUCAGUCUCUGAAUCCUGACAUUAAAUCUGAGGGUAAAUGUAAUAUAA